rnacentral:rRNA from 1 species
CGGAAUUACUGGGCGUAAAGCGCAUGCAGGUGGUUUGUUAAGUCAGAUGUGAAAGCCCGGGGCUUCAACUCGGAAUUGCAUUUGAAACUGGCAAACUAGAGUACUGUAGAGGGGGGUAGAAUUUCAGGUGUAGCGGUGAAAUGCGUAGAGAUCUGAAGGAAUACCGGUGGCGAAGGCGGCCCCCUGGACAGAUACUGACACUCAGAUGCGAAAGCGUGGGGAGCAAACAGGAUUAGAUACCCUGGUNAG